CAAUAGCGUAUAUUAAAGUUGUUGCAGUUAAAAAGCUCGUAGUUGGAUGUCUGGCUCUCGCAGGAGUUGUCUGCCGAAAGGUAGCACGACUCGGCGGGGCCAUCCUCUCGAGGACGGGGUGUGCCUUUAACUAGGUGUGCCUUUGGACUCGGGACCUUUACUUUGAAAAAAUUAGAGUGCUCAAAGCAGGCCUUCGCUUGAAUACAUUAGCAUGGAAUAAUAGAAUAGGACUUUGGUUCUAUUUUGUUGGUUUCUAGGACCGAAGUAAUGAUUAAUAGGGAUAGUUGGGGGCAUUAGUAUUUAAUUGUCAGAGGUGAAAUUCUUGGAUUUAUGAAAGACUAACAUCUGCGAAAGCAUUUGCCAAGGAUGUUUUCAUUGA
rnacentral:rRNA from 1 species